GAUGAACGCUAGCUACAGGCUUAACACAUGCAAGUCGAGGAGAAACGACAUCGAAAGCUUGCUUUUGAUGGGCGUCGACCGGCGCACGGGUGAGUAACGCGUAUCCAACCUGCCCACCACUUGGGGAUAACCUUGCGAAAGUAAGACUAAUACCCAAUGAUAUCUCUAGAAGACAUCUGAAAGAGAUUAAAGAUUUAUCGGCGAUGGAUGGGGAUGCGCCUGAUUAGCUUGUUGGCGGGGUAACGGCCCACCAAGGCUACGAUCAGUAGGGGUUCUGAGAGGAAGGUCCCCCACAUUGGAACUGAGACACGGUCCAAACUCCUACGGGAGGCAGCAGUGAGGAAUAUUGGUCAAUGGGCGAGAGCCUGAACUAGCCAAGUAGCGUGCAGGAUGACGGCCCUAUGGGUUGUAAACUGCUUUUAUAAGGGAAUAAAGUGAGCCUCGUGAGGCUUUUUGCAUGUACCUUAUGAAUAAGGACCGGCUAAUUCCGUGCCAGCCGCCGCGGUAA
rnacentral:rRNA from 1 species